CCCUAAUUUUGGAACACCUGACUGCUCUGUGCUUCAUUGUCAGGACUCAUCUCCAAGGGGUUGGAAAGGACCCCGGGAUCCUCGUCGGUCUUCCGAAUGCUGCGGCCGGGGCGCCUGGCCCCCCUCUCAGGGCCACGCAGACUCUCAUCUCCCGGCAAUCCCCUCGCCAUUUGCCAAAGAAAGCAGCAAACUAAGGUUCCUUGGGGCAGCGUGUGAGAACAUGCUGCUUCCAGGCAGCGCGUGGGCGUCUCCCCACAGUGAGACACUUGUCAGGAGUGGGGGCUGCUUUGUGUCCAUGGGUUCAGUGUGAUACAGACGAAGCAGGAGCUCCUGAGUAGGGGCAGUGGCUGCCGAAGUACGUGAUUCACCCCCAAAGCAAAGUGCCACAGACUCAGCUGCAGUCACACUCCAGGCUCGCUGCCGUUGGCUUUCAGAUUUAGACCACGGCUGACUUAUGCCCAUGACAUUUCACCAAAACCGACUCUUUUUAAUCAUGGCAUAUUUUUGCCUUUCCUCGUACACUGCCACAGACCCUGCCACAUCUGGCAGAGGGGCAUUAGAAUCCACAGUCCUGCUGGAAUCCAAGCCAAUGUUCCCUCUCAUUUUUUUCCAUCCAUGUGCAGAAUAAAUGUUGUUGUGUGCAUGGAGGCAUAUGCAGAUGCGCACCAAUAGAACGUGCUGCCAGCUGUGUGUGCUCAGCUAAUCAGCUGGACAGCACUGGACUCUCCUGGGUGG